UGCAAGUCGACGGGCUCUUCGGAGCAAGUGGCGGACGGGUGAGUAACGCGUGAGAAUGUGCCUUGAGGAUGGGGAUAACAAUAGGAAACUAAUGCUAAGACCCAAUGUGCCUUAAGUGGUGAAAAAUGAAAAUUGCCUGAAGAGGAGCUCGCGUCUGAUUAGCUAGUUGGGGUGGUAAAAGCGCACCAAGGCGACGAUCAGUAGCUGGUCUGAGAGGAUGAGCAGCCACACUGGGACUGAGACACGGCCCAGACUCCUACGGGAGGCAGCAGUGGGGAAUUUUCCGCAAUGGGCGAAAGCCUGACGGAGCAAUACCGCGUGAGGGAGGAAGGCUCUUGGGUUGUAAACCUCAAAACUUAGGGAAGAAAAAAAUGACGGUACCUAAUUUAAGCAUCGGCUAACUCCGUGCCAGCAGCCGCGGUAAUACG
rnacentral:rRNA from 1 species